GGGCCUGAUGGGAGAGGCCGAGGGACUCGGCGAGGUUGAACGCCUCGCUGACGGCGAUCAUCGAGACGCCGAGGAUCAUGUUGUUGCAGAUCUUC
rnacentral:tRNA from 1 species